rnacentral:tRNA from 2 species
GGUUGUGGCUCAGUGGUAGAGCGCUCGCCUAGCAUGUGUGAGGCCCUGGGUUCAAUCCUCAGCACCA